CUUCACCGAACCCAGCAGCAGGGGCCGAUCCAGUGCACGGUCCUUGCCAUAGGUGGCCAACACGGCCUGUGCCUC
rnacentral:antisense_RNA from 1 species